UACGAAGGGGGCUAGCGUUGCUCGGAAUCACUGGGCGUAAAGCGCACGUAGGCGGCUUUCUAAGUCAGGGGUGAAAUCCUGGAGCUCAACUCCAGAACUGCCUUUGAUACUGGAGAGCUUGAGUCCGGGAGAGGUGAGUGGAACUCCGAGUGUAGAGGUGAAAUUCGUAGAUAUUCGGAAGAACACCAGUGGCGAAGGCGGCUCACUGGCCCGGUACUGACGCUGAGGCGCGAAGCGUGG
rnacentral:rRNA from 1 species